rnacentral:rRNA from 1 species
AUACCGCGUGUGUGAAGAAGGCCUGAGGGUUGUAAAGCACUUUCAAUAGGAAGGAAUACCUAUCGGUUAAUACCCGGUAGACUGACAUUACCUAUACAAGAAGCACCGGCUAACUCCGUGCCAGCAGCCGCGGUAAUACGGAGGGUGCAAGCGUUAAUCGGAAUUACUGGGCGUAAAGCGUGCGUAGGCGGUUAUUUAAGUCAGAUGUGAAAGCCCUGGGCUUAACCUGGGAACUGCAUUUGAUACUGGAUGACUAGAGUUGAGUAGAGGAGAGUGGAAUUUCAGGUGUAGCGGUGAAAUGCGUAGAGAUCUGAAGGAACACCAGUGGCGAAGGCGGCUCUCUGGACUCAAACUGACGCUGAGGUACGAAAGCGUGGGUAGCAAACAGGAUUAGAUACCCUGGUAGUCCACGCCGUAAACGAUGUCAACUAACCGUUGGGUUCUUUAAGAACUUAGUGGUGGAGCUAACGUAUUAAGUUGACCGCCUGGGGAGUACGGCCGCAAGGCUAAAACUCAAAUGAAUUGACGGGGGCCCGCACAAGCGGUGGAGCAUGUGGUUUAAUUCGAUGCAACGCGAAGAACCUUACCUACCCUUGACAUGUAGCGAAUCCUUUAGAGAUAGAGGAGUGCCUUCGGGAACGCUAACAAGGUGCUGCAUGGCUGUCGUCAGCUCGUGUCGU